rnacentral:lncRNA from 10 species
UCCUCUUAUCAGGUAUAUGUGCAUGAGAACCUUCUUUUCAUCACCUUCCCUGGCUCCAUUUGUCCUGCUACGGUGACACCAGUCUUUUAGUCCAUACAUUUGACUUCAUGAGGAGUUUGCUAUAAUCAAUUGAAUGAAGAAGAAACAUGUGGACCUGCUUUAUAGAAGGAAUGAUGCCAGGGGGAUGAAUAGUUUUGCUGGAUGGUCAUGGACUUCAAAGAAGCAUGAUUGAUAAUUGGUUGACAAGGCAAAUUGACAAUGAGGUAUGUGAGUGGACUACUUUUAAUGAGCAGAAUAUAAAAUUACUUGCGGCCUAUUUAAUUGUCAAUAAUCAGCAACCUCACCAGAAGAUGAGCUUAAUAAUCAGGUGAUCAAGAUGGUACAUUCUGUGAAUAUUCUUCAAGAUUUUUCUCUAGUCAACCAUGUCCAUUCCCAGUGGGUGCAUGAAC